GUCGGCGUAGAGGAGCCCGGCAUCUCGCCAUCUUCAUAAGCUGGAGGAUCACAGUUUCCAAGCUUGUCGCCGCAACCA
rnacentral:tRNA from 1 species